rfam:Bordetella petrii strain DSM 12804, complete genome
AAGACAGGCCGGGCAAUCGCGGUGGAUGCAAAUCCGUCGAGGAAGGUCCGGACUCCACAGGGCAGGGUAGCGGCUAACGGCCGUCCGGCCGUGCCGGCAGGCUUGCCUGCAGGCACGACCGAGGAACAGGGCCACAGAGACGAGUCUGCGGGGCGGGCGCGCCAGUCGCGCACCGGCACGGCCAUCUCCGUGCCGCGCGGUCCGGCAACGGGCGGCGGCAUCGCAGGGUGAAACGCGGCAACCUCUAUCCGGAGCAACACCAAAUAGGCAUGUGUGGGCCCCUGGGCCCGAAGGGCGGCCCGCCCGAGCAUGCGGGUAGGUGGCUACAGCGGUCCAGCAAUGGCCCGCGCAGAGGAAUGAUUGCCCGCCGGGUUCGCCCGGCGUACAGAAUCCGGCCUACAGGCCUGUCUUGCAA